GAUGAACGCUAGCUACAGGCUUAACACAUGCAAGUCGCGGGGCAGCAUGGGGGUUGCUUGCAAUCCCCGAUGGCGACCGGCGCACGGGUGAGUAACGCGUAUUCAACCUGCCCUUCACCACGGGAUAACCCGGCGAAAGUCGGACUAAUACCGUAUGUUGUCCAUUGACGGCAUCCGAUUUGGACGAAAGGCUUGGCGGUGAGGGAUGGGGAUGCGUCCGAUUAGCCAGACGGCGGGGUAACGGCCCACCGUGGCUACGAUCGGUAGGGGUUCUGAGAGGAAGGUCCCCCACACGGGAACUGAGACACGGUCCAGACUCCUACGGGAGGCAGCAGUGAGGAAUAUUGGUCAAUGGGCGUAAGCCUGAACCAGCCAAGUAGCGUGCAGGAUGACGGCCCUAUGGGUUGUAAACUGCUUUUAUGCGGGGAUAAAGUGGCCCACGUGUGGGCUUUUGCAGGUACCGCAUGAAUAAGGACCGGCUAAUUCCGUG
rnacentral:rRNA from 1 species